GACGAGGUGGCCGAGUGGUUAAGGCGAUGGACGGCUGAACAAUUGGGCACUUCCCGCGUGGGUUCGAAUCCCAUCCUCGUCG